UACGUAGGGAGCAAGCGUUGUCCGGAAUCAUUGGGCGUAAAGAGCGCGUAGGCGGUCCGGUAAGUCGGUUGUGAAAACUGGGGGCUCAACCCUCAGAGGCCGACCGAUACUGCCGGGCUAGAGUCCGGAAGAGGCGAGUGGAAUUCCUGGUGUAGCGGUGAAAUUCGUAGAUAUCGGGAGGAACACCGGUGGCGAAGGCGCCUGUCUGGCUGACAACUGACGCUGAGACUCGAAAGCAUGGGGAGCAAACAGG
rnacentral:rRNA from 1 species